UACGAGGGGGGCAAGCGUUGUUCGGAAUUACUGGGCGUAAAGGGCUCGUAGGCGGCCAACUAAGUCAGACGUGAAAUCCCUCGGCUUAACCGGGGAACUGCGUCUGAUACUGGAUGGCUUGAGGUUGGGAGAGGGAUGCGGAAUUCCAGGCGUAGCGGUGAAAUGCGUAGAUAUCUGGAGGAACACCGGUGGCGAAGGCGGCAUCCUGGGACCAAUUCUGACGCUGAGGAGCGAAAGCCAGGGGAGCAA
rnacentral:rRNA from 1 species